UAUGAACCAAGGGGAUUAGUGCUGCUUUCCCAAGACGAGUUUAUGUGAUUAUGAUCUUCAGGCUUUGCCUAUCCAGGUUGGCUGGCUGGUGCUGACGGGACGGAGCUGAGGCUAGAGUUAAAAUUCAUAUGUUAGACUUCCGCUGUAGCAAUUACUCUUAUACAUCUUUUGUUUUCUCAACUUAAGAUGACUUCAUGUCGAGUUUAAAUUUGAAAUUCUAGUUUUACGCUAAUGAAUGUUGGUUGUCAGAAACAUGAAACAAAACUUGUGAUCCAAAGGGGCAUAGCCCGACUUUCUAUCCUAUUUCGGUUAUGACAAGGU